CAGUCGCCACGGUAACACGGAGGAUCCAAGCGUUAUCCGGAUUUAUUGGGUUUAAAGGGUGCGUAGGUGGCCUGUUAAGUCAGGGGUGAAAGACGGUAGCUUAACUAUCGCAGUGCCCUUGAUACUGAUGGGCUUGAAUGAACUAGAGGUAGGCGGAAUGUGACAAGUAGCGGUGAAAUGCAUAGAUAUGUCACAGAACACCAAUUGCGAAGGCAGCUUACUAUGGUUUUAUUGACACUGAGGCACGAAAGCGUGGGGAUCAAACAGGAUUAGAUACCCCCGUAGUCCCUGUCUCUUAUAC
rnacentral:rRNA from 1 species